CUUGGUAUUGAUUUUGAGCAAGACAAUGGAUGUGUGAAAAUGUCACAAAAGAGGUAUGUGGAAAAAAAUCCUGGAAAUAUUUGAUAUGCAACACUGUAAGCCAAGAAUGACACCCUGUGAACAAAAGUUGAGCUACACUGGUGAUGCAGAAAUGAUGCAGGAUGUCAGGAAAUACAGAGAGGCUGUAGGCAGCCUUAUCUACCUCACUACAUGUACAAGACCUGAUCUCAGUUUUAUUGUUAGUAAACUGUCUCAGUACUUUACUAAGCCAACAGAACAAAUGGUGGCAGCUGUAAUGACAAAGCCUGCGAUUAAAUUUGAUUAAAGUUGAUUAAAUUUGCCUCAUUUAUGUUUGGAGAUUAAAGGUACACAGAAGAUUGUACUUGAUGUGAACAGAAGUUAAUUUUUCUUUUUGAUGAUGGUAACGAUAUGAGAGCAAGUGGGGGUGUUGACAUGAAUGUAAAUAUGCUCUCAUUUGUAGACUUUGUAUAAAUAUAUGUAAAUGACUUUUUGGGUGUUGACCAAAGGGUGGCAGUCGUGAGCUAAGAUUGUUAAUAAAGUUUCUUUUUUUUUUUUUUUUUGUAUUGCCUGAGACUGAACGCUUCCCGUGUGUGUUUCAUUCCUCCAGGAUUAUAUAUAUAUAUAUAUAUAUUCGGUCUUGUAUUAUUAUUUUACACGCCAGAACUGCUGUAGCAUUAGUUUCUGCUAACACGCUUCUUUUUAAGAAUGCGAAUCUGUCUGGAAUUGAAAGGAGGUGCCAAAAAGAGAAACUCACCAGUCCGUGAAAAAGACCGAAGCACCAGCUGGAUGCAGCACGACUUUUGACAAGAAAAAGACGGACACACCUGGCCUAGACGGCACGACCUUGGACAUGAUUGCAUGUGGGGAGCCCAAGGAUUAUACAAAAGAAGAGCUUUCAGCAACUUUGAAAGUUCUUAUCGAUAAAAAGAAAGAUGCUUUAAAACCAGAUGUUAAAGAUUUAAUUUGUGACAUUGAAAGGCUUACUGAGAGAAUGCCUGCCUUAGAGGUGUGUUUCUUUUUUUCGGACAGAAGGGCGAAUUUAACAACCCUAACAGCUAUUUCACGUGUAACUAGAUGUAUCUACAGAUCAAUAGGGAAUACCAUUCCUGUAAUGACACGUGAUGAACUGAGACUCAGCAACUAGAACAAGGAAAACCAGAUCCCUGCCAGCGUGACACGUAAUACAACCUAUAGAAGGUCUUCUCCUUAUUUUAUAUCUGCUAGAAAAAGAUUCAUUAUGACCACAAUUGGUCGCUCAGUCGUCUGGGCUUAUGUGUUUAGCUCUGUUGAACAUUUAGGG